rnacentral:tRNA from 1 species
GCUCCGGUAGCUCAGUGGUAGAGCACUUCCUUGGUAAGGAAGGGGUCGAGGGUUCAAUUCCCUCCCGGAGCU